CCUGGGCCGGGGUCAUGGAGGGGUCUGCCUCUGAGGACCCGGCGCUGGACGUCAAGUCCGAGGUCACCAACCAGCUUAUAGAUUUUCAGCGGAAACUGGGGAUGGCUGUGAGCUCGGACAGUUGCAGAUCUCUUAAGUAUCCUUAUAUUGCAGUGAUGCUGAAAGUGUCAGACCAUUCAGGUCAAGUAAAGAACAAAUCUUUUGAGAUGACAAUUCCACAGUUUCAGAAUUUCUAUAGACAGUUCAAGGAAAUUGCUGCUGUUAUUGAAACUGUGUGAAAACUGAUUACUUGGAUUGAUAAAUUGCUAUUUUAAAAUGAUGGAUUUCACCUGCAAAAGAACUGCACUUUCAUUUUUCCGGUUUUAAAAAAAAAUCUAAA